rnacentral:rRNA from 1 species
AGCAGCCGCGGUAAUUCCAGCUCCAAUAGCGUAUAUUAAAGUUGUUGCAGUUAAAAAGCUCGUAGUUGAAUUUCGGGGUUCUACCAUCGGUCGGGCUACCAAGUCUGUACUGGUGUGUAGAAUUCCUACCUUCUGGGGAACCAUCAUGUUAUUAAUUUAGCGUUGUGGGAAACCAGGACCUUUACCUUGAAAAAAUUAGAGUGUUCAAAGCAGGCUUAUGUCUGAAUACAUUAGCAUGGAAUAAUAGAAUAGGACGGUGGUCCUGUUUUGUUGGUUUCUGAAUCACCGUAAUGAUUAAUAGGGAUAGUUGGGGGCAUUAGUAUUCAAUUGUCAGAGGUGAAAUUCUUGGAUUUAUUGAAGACUAACUUCUGCGAAAGCAUUUGCCAAGGAUGUUUUCAUUAAUCAAGAACGAAAGUUAGGGGAUCGAAGACGAUCAGAUACCGUCGUAGUCUUAACCAUAAACUAUGCCGACUAGGGAUCGGACGAUGUUAAAUUUUAUUGACUCGUUCGGCGCCUUACG